rnacentral:misc_RNA from 1 species
AAGUCGUAACAAGGUUUCCGUAGGUGAACCUGCGGAAGGAUCAUUACCGUGGGGGCUUCGGCCCCAUUGAGAUGGCACCCUUUGUUUAUGAGUACCCUUGUUUCCUCGGCGGGCUUGCCCGCCAGUAGGACAUUAAAACCCUUUGCAGUAGUAGUGACUUCAGUUAAAACAAAUAUUAAAA